GCUUGGGAAUAUGCCUUGAGGUGGGGACGAACAGUUGGAAACGACUGCUAAUACCGCAUAAUGUCUACGGACCAAAGGAAGGGGAGUCUUCGGACCUUUCGCCUUUAGUAUUAGCCCAAGUGAGAUUAGCUAGAUGGUGGGGUAAGUGGCCUACCAUGGCGACGAUCUCUAGCUGGUUUGAGAGGAUGAUCAGCCACACUGGGACUGAGACACGGCCCAGACUCCUACGGGAGGCAGCAGUGGGGAAGUAUUGCACAAUGGGCGAAAGCCUGAUGCAGCCAUGCCGCGUGUGUGAAGAAG
rnacentral:rRNA from 1 species